UCCCAGGUGGCUCAGAUGGUAAAGCGUCUGCCUGCAACUCGGGAGACCCUGGUUCGAUUCUUGGCUCGGGAA
rfam:TPA: Bos taurus chromosome 4, whole genome shotgun sequence.